AUCUGUGGACUCUGCCUCCAGCAAAGUGUGUCUUUUGCUUUCAGAAAGUGAAACCACAAAUUUUCAAAUUUCAACAUGUUAUCAAGAAAGCAGUUAUAGAAUUGGAGGACUAAUGGAGAUAAACAAAGUUAGUGAUCAUAAUAAUAAUACCCAAGAGCCACAACCCAAGAAACAAAUUAGAAGGAGACUCCACACAAGCAAGCCUUACCAAGAAAGCUUUGUGAACAUGGCUGAGGCUAGAAGAGAGAUUGCCACUGCCCUCAAGUUCCAUAGAGAUUCCAUGAAGGCGGCUGCCAAUCACGACCAUCGAUCCGAACUAGAAAAGAAGCCAGUCUAUCCGGAUAUGGUCACCACCAACUACUGGCCUCUUGUUCCUCCACCUCCACCAUCACUAAAUCAAGAAUAUUAUAAUCUGGACCAGCUUCCUAAUCAACCAUUGGGGCUAAAUCUCAAUUUUAAAGAUUUCAACAACUUAAAUACAAGUAUUUACUACAACCCGAUGCCUGUUUCUUCCGCCCAAUCAGCCGCCAAGAAGUCCUUGGAGACCAGUGAAAUUGGAACAGUGGAGGAUGUGACAAAGUCUGUUGAUUGGUGUUAUGAGCCUUUUGAGCAAGUCAUGGAGUUCCCACCAUGGUUGAUCAAUGCAAAUGAGACCUCUUGUUCCCAACACAUAUUUGAUCACCAACUUUCUCUUGAUCCUGCAUUGCCUUGCAUGGACAUUGAUGACAUUGAAGUGAUGGAUGGUGAGGAGUGGCUUGCCUGAAAAAGGACUUUGAUUGUUAUUUAUGGCUUAUCUAUGGCUAUAUAUUUAUGCAACCUCUUGUGUCGCUAUAACAAAGUUUCUAUUGAACACGGAUUCGCCCAUGCUGGAUUUUGGAGGAACAACAAUUAGCAUUCAUUAGUGAAUAAUGGCGAUUUUGUAAUUUAAAUGUGUUUCGAAUUUAUGUUAUUUGUUUUUGUUAAAUUUAUGUUCCGGAUCAUAUUUAUCAUUAUGCAUUUUUCAGGCAAAAA